rnacentral:rRNA from 1 species
CCUACGGGUGGCAGCAGUGAGGAAUAUUGGUCAAUGGACGCAAGUCUGAACCAGCCAAGUAGCGUGCAGGAUGACGGCCCUCCGGGUUGUAAACUGCUUUUAGAAGGGAAUAAAAGGGGGCACGUGAGCCCCGUAGUGUAUGUACCAUCAGAAAAAGGACCGGCGAAUUCCGUGCCAGCAGCCGCGGUAAUACGGAAGGUCCGGGCGUUAUCCGGAUUUAGUGGGUGUAAAGGGAGCGUAGGCGGGCUUUUAAGUCAGCUGGGAAAGUCCGCGGCUCAACCGUGGAAUUGCAGUUGAAACUGGCGGCCUUGAGUGCUGGUGAGGCAAUCGGACUUCCGUGUGUAGCGGU